UACAGAGGGGGCAAGCGUUGUUCGGAAUUACUGGGCGUAAAGGGCGCGUAGGCGGCCCGCUAAGUCGAACGUGAAAUCCCCGGGCUCAACCCGGGAACUGCAUCCGAUACUGGAUGGCUUGAAUUCGGGAGAGGGAUGCAGAAUUCCAGGUGUAGCGGUGAAAUGCGUAGAUAUCUGGAGGAAUACCGGUGGCGAAGGCGGCAUCCUGGACCGACAUUGACGCUGAACGGCGAAAGCUAGGGGAGCAAACGGG
rnacentral:rRNA from 1 species